CUGGUUUUCACUGUGAUUUUACAGAUAUUUCCAACAAUUCUGAGAUCAUUGUGAAAACUGAUU
rnacentral:pre_miRNA from 1 species